CAAACAAUAUUUCAAUUCCAUCUCAAACAUCAAAAACUGUGCUAGCUCAAGACAGAAAUGAAAGCAAUUAACAUUUCUAUAAGACAGUACCCAGGAUCGCCAACCCUCCAGGAAUUGAAAAAUCAAUCUAUGUGCAACCCCAGAGGACAUUAAACAAGAUUUUAUUUUU